rnacentral:rRNA from 1 species
GAUGGACGCUGGCGGCGUGCCUAAUACAUGCAAGUCGAGCGAACAGACGAGGAGCUUGCUCCUCUGACGUUAGCGGCGGACGGGUGAGUAACACGUGGAUAACCUACCUAUAAGACUGGGAUAACUUCGGGAAACCGGAGCUAAUACCGGAUAAUAUAUUGAACCGCAUGGUUCAAUAGUGAAAGACGGUUUUGCUGUCACUUAUAGAUGGAUCCGCGCCGCAUUAGCUAGUUGGUAAGGUAACAGCUUACCAAGGCAACGAUGCGUAGCCGACCUGAGAGGAUGAUCGGCCAAACUGGAACUGAGACACGGUCCAGACUCCUACGGGAGGCAGCAGUAGGGAAUCUUCCGCAAUGGGCGAAAGCCUGACGGAGCAACGCCGCGUGAGUGAUGAAGGUCUUCGGAUCGUAAAACUCUGUUAUUAGGGAAGAACAAAUGUGUAAGUAACUAUGCACGUCUUGACGGUACCUAAUCAGAAAGCAACGGCUAACUACGUG